UCGUGCUCACCUCUAUUUUCCAAUGAUCCAUGGAUCUGGCCGCAAAGUAGCUCGCCUCUAUGUAUCUAUCUAGCACACCAUUAUUUCUACUUCAACCUAGUAGUAAUAUUCCAGUUCAUCCUGCUGAAUCAUGGUGAACUACUAAUGCUCAACAUGUAUACAUUGGCAGAUAUCAGGGAUGAUACCCAAGUGAGUGGCUGAGUAGUGCUGCUGCCACGAUGGAAGCCAUCCUGCUGGAAAGCAAGAGUUCAGCAACAGUGGGUUAUGUCGCUGGUGUUGGUGGCGGCAUUACUGCGUCACCGAGUGGUAACCUGCUGUCAUGUGACGCUGGCUGCAGCUGGUCGUGGAUGCCGAUGCCGACGAAGCACAAGGGGACGACGUCCUGGACACACCCGACCAGGAGUAGGAGCUAGUCCAGACCGACCCCGACCACCACCACGAUGCCCACCAAAAGAUAUCAGGGAUGAUACCCAAGUGAGUGGCUGAGUAGUGCUGCUGCCACGAUGGAAGCCAUCCUGCUGGAAAGCAAGAGUUCAGCAACAGUGGGUUAUGUCGCUGGUGUUGGUGGCGGCAUUACUGCGUCACCGAGUGGUAACCUGCUGUCAUGUGACGCUGGCUGCAGCUGGUCGUGGAUGCCGAUGCCGACGAAGCACAAGGGGACGACGUCCUGGACACACCCGACCAGGAGUAGGAGCUAGUCCAGACCGACCCCGACCACCACCACGAUGCCCACCAAAAGAUAUCAGGGAUGAUACCCAAGUGAGUGGCUGAGUAGUGCUGCUGCCACGAUGGAAGCCAUCCUGCUGGAAAGCAAGAGUUCGGCAACAGUGGGUUAUGUCGCUGGUGUUGGUGGCGGCAUUACUGCGUCACCGAGUGGUAACCUGCUGUCAUGUGACGC